UGUCUGUGCUGCCUCAGCUAGGCUGCAUCUUAUUUUCUCCUGCUUAGGUUAGUAACGAUAGAGUAGGGAAAGAUAGCAGCAAUCUUUAUUAGAGAGGAAGCUACACUAAUUAGCAAUGGAAGGCAAAGGUCCACAGCUCAGGAAGCAGGCAGAACCCAUGACACAGUGGGAGUCAUCCAAGUUACUGCCCAGCCUGUAGUGUGUCUGCUCAUGUGCACGUAGGAAGGCUUUAUGUAGGUAUGCAAGGUGUCAAACCUGUGGUGCCAGAACCUGGAAGAGGAGCAGCUGUUGGAUUCCACAAUCCCUGCUUGGUCCAGGAGCCUAUGCAAAACCACUACUAUUACAGUCAUCAGACAUCAGCUCUGUAACAUAAAAAAGCAGAUCAGUUUGAUAUGCCCUUUUGCUCCAGCGUCAUGUGAAGAGGUACCAUGAGCAGGGUCCUCCUGAAAAGGCAACUGAUGGCUUGAGACAUGUGGGCCAACCAUCCAUCUGAGGCGAAGCGGAAACCAAGAGUGAUUGCCUGCAGCGCCAUAAAGAGCUAAAGAGCCAUUUUCAACAGGGGUAUAGAUGAAGUUCUUGUGAAAUGUAGAGCCAGAACCAUGGAAGUGACUUUAUUAAAGUGGACCAUUUUGUUUCAGUCUAUUGAGUAAAGAGCUAUAAAACAUGGACAUCGGAGUGAAAGAAAAAGAGAGGAGAAAAUGGCAAGCAGAAGCACCAAAUCAUAUGGCAGGAGCUGUUGCAUGAAGCGAGAGGAAGGAGCAGUCCGAGUCACUGAGGCUCAGCACUCCACAGCAGAAGGAGCACUCAACAGAUCAACAGGUUAAGCUUUCCUUUGGAUGGAGAUGUGGCCUGCUCUCUGUGAGGGAGUAAAGAAACCUUGAAGUGAAGCAAUCUGUAACAUCCACAACCGUGCCAGAAUACCUACCAAAUCAGUGUGCUCCUUCCCCC